UAUAGCCAGCGAUGGAGGAAA
rnacentral:piRNA from 1 species